AAAAAGAUAAGCUAAAUUAAGCUAUUGGGUUCAUACCCCAAUUAUAAAGGACCCCCCCUUUUCUUUUUA
rnacentral:tRNA from 1 species